UCGAGAGGCUUUGGCAAUGGGGGAAACCCUGACCAAGCGACGCCGCGUGGAGGAUGAAGGCCCUUGGGUUGUAAACUCCUUUUGUCGGGGAAGAAAUACGAUCAGGUGAACAAUCUGGUCGCUUGACGGUACCCGGCGAAUAAGCUCCGGCUAACUCCGUGCCAGCAGCCGCGGUAACACGGGGGGAGCAAGCGUUGUUCGGAAUCACUGGGCGUAAAGGGAGUCUAGGCGGUCAGGUAAGUGGAAUGUGAAAUCCCUCGGCUCACCCGAGGACCUGCAUCCCAAACUGCCUGGCUUGAGUAUGGGAGAGGAUGAGGGAAUUCCUGGUGUAGCGGUGAAAUGCGUAGAUAUCAGGAGGAACACCGGUGGCGAAGGCGCUCAUCUGGCCCAAUACUGACGCUGAAGCUCGAAAGCUAGGGGAGCAAACGGGAUUAGAUACCCCCGUAGUCC
rnacentral:rRNA from 1 species